UCGCGGGGCCCCAGACCCAGGCGAGGGGGGCGGGGCCCCAGAGGCCGCUCUCACCUCACGGUAGUUUGUUUGAAGCCGAGCCGCAAAGUGCGGUCUGCGCGGCGAUUGGGGGAGCUCCGCCACGUGAUCGCCGAGUGGCCCCACCCACAGCCUCCCUAGUUACCUGGGCUCCCCCGGCGCCCAGAGAGCCUCAGGGAUUGAGUCCGUCCCUUUUAGGAGUAUUGGGAAUGGGGCGUUUAUAGUUAGUCUAAUAAACUGGGAAGGGAGAGACGAUGGAUUCAAGUUCGAGCCAAUUCUCCCUUCUCGGUCGGCAAGAAGGGCUAUCUGUGGGCCCCAGUUUCACAGGCCUUCGGGAAACCGGCCUCAGUGCGCAGGCGCCGGAGGGGAGGUCGUGGGAAGGAACGCUGGCGCGCGGGCUCAGCUCCCCGUGCCACUGCGCAGGCGCGGGUCUUUGCGACGUCUCUGGGCUCGCGGCCCCGGGAGGCCCGUCUCUGCUGCGCGGUUUUUCUAGAUCAGCUCUUUCUGUGUCGCUUUCUUUAGAUCAUCUGUUCCUUGAGGGGCCGGGGUCUCCACGGUCCCCAGGACGUGCCCUCCCUCUCGCAGACUCCUAGGCCGGCCGAUCCCUCCUUCCCUGAAGUGAAGCGGGAAGCACGCCCACCCUCUCCAGCCCGUUUUUAACCGGUUGCUCACCUAAGCACCUUUUUAAAGUGGAAAAAGGGCAUCACGUUGGGAGGCUGAGCCGGGAACCCCGGAACCAGUGAGCUCACCUGUUACCCCAUUUCUUUAAUGAAGAAGAAAAUUAGGUUUUUUAGAAAAUUCUUUUAAUGUUUAUUUUUGAAAGAGAGAGAGAGGGGGAGACACAGAAUCCGAAGCAGGCUCCAGGUUCUAAACUGUCAGCACGGAGACCAACGUGGGGCUGGAACUCGCCAACCGGGAGAUAAUGACCUGAGUCGGGGUAUAAUGAGCUGAAGUCAGAGGCUUAGCCGACUUACGACCCAGGCGCCAUAAAAGUUACAUUUAGAAGAAGGAAUUGAGUGAGGUUACAAGUUUUUAAUCAGAAUUGUCAGCCGGAACUCUUGGAAAGAAGGAAAUGUUGGAGGACUCUGCAUCCAAAAGAUAGGAAACAGAUCAAAUGUCCCUCAUUUGAAGGGCCUGGCUAAACUAUGGCCCCUCGCAUGGUGUAAUAGUGAACUACAACAAAGAAUGAGCCAGCUCUUUAUAGAGGAAGUGAAUUUUGAAAACCACCAGUCAGACCAUGUACCUCCUGAUCUCAAUAACUAGCGUCUUCCUUUCUCAUUCAAGAAAGUCUGAGUCCUAGAGUGGCUUAUAAAGUCCCCUGCAGUUUGGCCCAGUUCACUGAUUUUCACAGAUGCUCCUUCUGUUUCGUCUUCCUCUUCUCAAACAGGCUGGGCACCCUCUGUUUCAGGGCCUUGUCACCUGCUGUUCCCUCUGCCUGGAAUGCCCUGCCUCAGACUAGUAUGGCUCUCUUCUUUUGGGGCUUUGCGUCUUUGCGCAGAUUUCACCCUCUCAAUUAGCGCCAGUCCUGACCUUUCAGUUUAAAAUUGCAACUCCCCAUCUCUGUUCUCUGCCUUUUUUUUUUCUACGUGGUGUUUAUUGAAUGUGUAACUAUAUUGAAUAUAAAGCUAUACAUUCAUUAGGCAACUCAGAAAGAAUUCAUGAGAAAAUGGUGCCAGCAGUUGCCUCUGUGGAGAACAACUAGCAGCAGGGUGAGAUUAAAAUUUAUCCUUUUCUCUUUUUUCCUCACUCCUGUCUGCAUUACAAACAAAAAAAAAAAAUUAACAUCAGCCCCUGAGUUUAUGGCACAGACAUGUACUGAGCACCUGUGCUGUGCCAGGCAUAUGUUAGGCCUUGGGGUAGAGAGACAGCAGACAGGACAUGUAGGGUAAAGACUCUGGGUAGUAGUUUAGAGGAGAGAAGGCACCCAAAUCAUCCUGGCAAGGGAAAGGGGAAGCCGCAGGCAGGGGACAGCACAGUCCAGGGCAUGUGGACUUACUAGAAUGUGACGGUCCCCCAGGGCCUGCUAAGUGGCAGUGAUGGACACAUGGAGAAUGGCCAAUGACAAUUAGAGAAAAGAGACAAAAUCCAAAAAAAGGGCAAACUGCAGGGGAUCAUUUGAUGCCAAGCUGCGUUUGGCCAUUAUCCAAGGAGAUGCUGAAAGGCCUUUCGAAGGGAAUGACCGGCUGAGAUCUGAACUUAACUCAUGAACUUUCUCCCAUGAGAAUUAAAGCUGCACGAAGCCAGAGGUGACGAACUGGUGGCCUACAGAUGUUUGCUUUGGACCAGGUUUGUUUGUUUGUUUUGUUUUGUUUUUUAAUUGGCCCACAUAAGAACAUGGAGGAACAAGAAUUCGAUAGGAAAACCAUUUGGCAGUAUCUCUUAAAGGUGCUGGGGAGACAGCAGUGAACACAGGAGCCAAGCCGUCUGUCCUCACGGGGUUUUCCUUCUACAGGAAGUACAACAAAGAAGUCCUCAUGCACUGGGACACACGCACACUUGUGUGCACACACUCAAGACUGCUUGAAGAUUCAGCUUUACUCAAGUGCAAUUUUCCAAGAGAUUCUCCUACUUCAUUCCUCGUUAGCUCUCUUGGACCCUAAAGCAGGCCGCCAACAUACCAGACCCGUGCAGGCCUCUGGCAGCUGACGCUCACCGCGGGGCUGGGAAGUUUGUGCCUUCCAGGUCACUGCCUGUGCUUGGUUUGUGCCAGUCACGGACACAACCGAUGCAGGCUUUACUUAAUUCACCCAAAUGUUGAUGACCCAGGUGCCCCUAGUAUGGUCUUCACAAGUAGGCAGAAUAACACCCCACCCCCCAAAUAUCUGCCUCUUAAUAUCCAGAACCUGUGACGAUGCUACCUUAUGUGGCAAAAGGACUUUGUAGAUGUGACUAAGUUAAAGAUUUUCAUUAAAAAAUUUUUUUAAA